CUAUUUCUCUGAUUAAUGCAGUUUAUUUGACAGAUGUGUAAUGCUGUUUGUUGAAAAAUGCAUUAGAACCAAUGAUGAUUGAGAUGCGAUUUGUUGAGAAUAUUCAUUAAAACUAAUGCGGUAUUGUCAGUGUAUGGUGUCUAAAACACAGGACUAGUCACCUGGUGAAGUACAGGUGACAUAAUUUUUAGAAUUCAGGAAGUUACUUGAUGGCAAAAUCUUGAAGAUAUAUAGAUUACAUUGGGAAGCCAGUCAGAACGUUCUCUUCCUUUUUUAAACCUCUUGCUACUGAACAAGGACCAAAAUUCUUAUGCAUAUAUGACAUGUUCUUGUAUUGCCUUCUUUAUAGAUCUUAAUAAAUUUUAAAACAAA
rnacentral:lncRNA from 1 species